rnacentral:rRNA from 1 species
GAUGAACGCUGGCGGCGUGCCUAAUACAUGCAAGUCGAGCGAACAGACGAGGAGCUUGCUCCUCUGACGUUAGCGGCGGACGGGUGAGUAACACGUGGAUAACCUACCUAUAAGACUGGGAUAACUUCGGGAAACCGGAGCUAAUACCGGAUAACAUGUUGAACCGCAUGGUUCAACAGUGAAAGACGGUCUUGCUGUCACUUAUAGAUGGAUCCGCGCCGCAUUAGCUAGUUGGUAAGGUAACGGCUUACCAAGGCAACGAUGCGUAGCCGACCUGAGAGGGGGAUCGGACACACUGGAACUGAGACACGGUCCAGACUCCUAAGGGAGGCAGCAGUAGGGAAUCUUCCGCAAUGGGCGAAAGCCUGACGGAGCAACGCCGCGUGAGUGAAGAAGGUCUUCGGAUCGUAAAACUCUGUUAUUAGGGAAGAACAAAUGUGUAAGUAACUAUGCACGUCUUGACGGUACCUAAUCAGAAAGCCACGGCUAACUACGUG